rnacentral:tRNA from 2 species
GGUUGUGGCUUAGUGGUAGAGCACUUGCCUAGCAUGCAUGAUGAGGCCCUGGGUUCGAUCCUCAGUACCA